CUUGUGGACAAUCUGGAAUAUUCAACGAUUGACUGUGUACGGCCAACACAUUUGCCGGAACCUCGCACACCACGCAUCUAUAUGAGACGAAAAAGAAAAUUUAAUCGAUCUUUUGUCCGAAUUUAUGAAAUUUAUUAAAUUUAUAUAAUUUAUAUUUAUAUCGUUUAUAACGACUGUUAUCCUCUCAAGUGGCGGAAGGAAUUAAAUUAUUAACAACAAGUAUACGUUAAAUGAACAAUUCGGUUUUCAAUCUAUUCUCGUAUAUAUUUUCACGGAUAUACGUUUGUAAACUUUACAACAAAGCGAAACAUUGCAUUCGUUGAAAUUGCAUCUAAUUUGCACGUUAGAAUAAAAUUUCGUUUCGAAAUUUAGUUUGGCAUAUAAUAAUUACUUCGAAUCGAAUGAUAAUAAGUUAAUUUAACAUUGGUAAGAUAAAUUAAAUAUGGAACACGCGUAUACACGGUUCUUACGAAUCGAUCAUCCUACGUUAAAAAAUAAUUAAAGACUUUUUUCUAACGUAAAAACAUACCUGGAGAUGUAUUGUUCUAUCUCCGAUUCCUGGACAGGCAUCAUGGGAAUUGGACUAGUGGUGGAUAACCAAUAAGAACGAUCGCCCCGGUUACCGUAGUGACAAACGUUGUUUAUAUCGCAAAAGAGGAACGGCAUCGUCGAGAACUUUCGUACGCACGAACCGGCAUAACCUGUUUCACGAUUAGAUAAGAUCAGAUAAGAGAAGAGAGGAGGAAGGGAACUCGUGGCGCGCGCAAGGAUCGGAAUAUUACGAAACGCGUGACGAUUUCGGAACUAGAUCGUAAGAUGGAAAAAAACUUAGGAUCUAGAUAUCUAGAUAAAUUUUGGACUUGCCUAAAUCUUGCGAGUGCGCCCUUUCAUCGCCAUCCGUGAACAGCAAACUGUAUCCUUCCCAAAGUUUGAUGUGCCCCGCGUCGCAAACAGGCA